UUAUGGACCCACCUGAUCCCAUGCCGAACUCAGUAGUGAAACGUAAUAGCGCCGAUGGUAGUGUGGGGCCUCCCCAUGUGAGAGUAGGACAUCGCCAGGC
rnacentral:rRNA from 1 species